rnacentral:rRNA from 1 species
CCUACGGGUGGCAGCAGUGAGGAAUAUUGGUCAAUGGACGAGAGCCUGAACCAGCCAAGUAGCGUGAAGGAUGACUGCCCUAUGGGUUGUAAACUUCUUUUAUAUGGGAAUAAAAUGUUCCACGUGUGGGAUUUUGUAUGUACCAUAUGAAUAAGGAUCGGCUAACUCCGUGCCAGCAGCCGCGGUAAUACGGAGGAUCCGAGCGUUAUCCGGAUUUAUUGGGUUUAAAGGGAGCGUAGGUGGAUUGUUAAGUCAGUUGUGAAAGUUUGCGGCUCAACCGUAAAAUUGCAGUUGAAACUGGCAGUCUUGAGUACAGUAGAGGUGGGCGGAAGUCGUGGUGUAGCGGUGAAAUGCUUAGAUAUCACGAAGAACUCCGAUUGCGAAGGCAGCUCACUGGACUGCAACUGACACUGAGGCUCGAAAGUGUGGGUAUCAAACAGGAUUAGAUACCCCAGUAGUC